rnacentral:rRNA from 1 species
GACGAACGCUGGCGGCGUGCUUAACACAUGCAAGUCGAACGGUGAAGCCCCUUCCUUUUUGGUGGGUGUGGAGGAGUGCAGAACGGGUGCGUAUCAAGUGAGUAACCUGUCCCCUGCUAUUGGAUAACCGCAUGAAAGUGUGGAUAAUACGGGCUAUUCUGGGUCUGUCGCCUGAUGGGUCUGGGCAAGGUUUUGUUUCGUUGGGGGAUGGGCUCGCGGCCUAUCGGCUUGUUGGUGGAGUGAUAGCCUACCAAGGCGGUGACGGGUGGACGCCCUGAGAGGGUGAACGGUCUCACGGGGUGUGAGACGCGGCCACGACGACUACGCGCGGCAGCAGUGGGGAGUAUUGCACACUGGGCGCAAGCCUGAUGCAGCGACGCCGCGUGAGGGAUGGAGGCCUUCGGGUGGUGAACCUCUUUCGCCAGUGAAGCAGGCCUGCCUCGUUUGUGGGUGGGUUGACGGUAGCUGGAUAAGAAGCGCCGGCUAACUACGUG